CGUUUACCCUGGAAGUACAGAAAGCCAGAGGGAGAACGAGAUGGUCACAGAGACGAAGAAAAAGAGCAACAAGGGCUGGCACUCCUGGAUCCAGCCUGGUUCUGGUCCCGUUCCUGAUUGUGGUUUGGAUCAACCUGAGCCUUCAGCAGCUCCAGAGCCUCUGCCAGGUCGUUGCGAGUCCUGAGAGGACAGGCGCACAUAAGAGUGUGGAUCCGUCCAGAUCGUCCUGCUCCUCCGUGUACAGCCGGAUGUUCUGCUCCUGGUCCAGCUGAAGCCAGUACAUCAGGCCCUGCCGGUCCCGACCUACAGGCUGCAGACGCAUCUUCUCCGGGUCCUCGUCGUUG